CAUAUGCCAGAAUCAUAUGGACCGCAGACUGGCCCUGGUGAUUCCGUUAAGAAAAAAGAGGAAAAAUCAGUGCUUGUGCUCAUUGGUCAUUGGACAAAGGGUGUAUGCCAGAAUUUUUUGAAGAACAGUCUGAAUCUGACAUGGAAAAAAUGAAGAAAAACAGCCUUCCUGUUUAUAAAUCUACAUUCUGACAAAGGAUCAUUUCCUUGAGAUAGGUGGAACCAACAGUCAAAUCCAGACACCUUUAAGAAAAGUAAAAAUCUGACUC